AAAAUAAAAAUUUUUGUUUUUUCUAAAAAUUCUAGCGUUAACUUCAAAAUUUCUUGUUGUAUCAAUCUUGGUCGUAUUGGACACUAGGACACUUGGACAUUAAAAUGUAGCAUCCAAAUAAUUAUAACAAUUAAGUUUGUUAUAUAUAUUAUAUUUCUGUUGAUUUGAACACAUCUCACAUCAUCACAAAUUUUAAAAAUAAGGAGGCACCAUUCUAUCCAUCCGUGCCAAAAGAAUAGGAAAACUAUACCUCAAUUUUAAACCAUAUAUAAACUUUCAUAUAAACUAAGUUAAGAAAGAGCAUUUCGAUUUAAGAUUCUUUCUCUAUAAAAUUUCUUUACACUGGAUAAAAAUUUCCACAUAUUAUUAAAAUGGAGUGAAGUUAAGGAUACGUGUUGUUUCAUCAUUUAUUAUAAUAUUAGAAAGAUUAACUAAAACGAAAACUAUUAGAACUAUUAUGCUUUUAACCUUAUCAAAAUCUUAUAUCCACUUCUUUUUAAACUUUUUUCAAGGAGGCACCAUCCAAUCCAUCCGUGGCAAAAAAAUAUGUUAGGAAAACUAUGUCUCAAUUUUAAACCAUAUAUAAACUUUCAUAUAAACUAAGUUAAGAAAGAGAUUCUUUCUCUAUAAAAUUUCUUUACACUGGAUAAAAAUUUCCACAUAUUAUUAAAAUGGAGUGAAGUUAAGGAUACGUGUUGUUUCAUCAUUUAUUAUAAUAUUAGAAAGAUUAACUAAAACGAAAACUAUUAGAACUAUUAUGCUUUUAACCUUAUCAAAAUCUUAUAUCCACUUCUUUUUAAACUUUUUUCAAGGAGGCACCAUCCAAUCCAUCCGUGGCAAAAAAAUAUGUUAGGAAAACUAUGUCUCAAUUUUAAACCAUAUAUAAACUUUCAUAUAAACUAAGUUAAGAAAGAGAUUCUUUCUCUAUAAAAUUUCUUUACACUGGAUAAAAAUUUCCACAUAUUAAAAUGGAGUGAAGUUAAGGAUACGUGUUGUUUCAUUAUACACUACUAUAGAUAAUGAUUCCUUCGACUUCGUAAAUUUUUAUAAUACACAUUUCAUUUAUAAAAAUCUUACUAUAUAUCCUUAUCUUAUGCAAGUUGCUUUGGUUAACAGUACUAUAUUAAUGUAUAAUAUUAAUUAUUUAAUAAAAGACCAGACUUUUUUUGAAGAGAGUUUCUCUUUUGGUUAUCAACGGAUAUAAUGAAUGAUUGACUGGUGGAAGGAAGCACAUACAAUAUUUAAAAGCAAUUACAAUGAAAGCAUAUACCUAUAUACAUGUAUAUAUACAUGUGUGAAAAUUUAUAGUACAAAUCUAUAAUGAAAAAAUAACCCCAAAAGAAUUACUUUAAUUAAAACUCUCAAGUGGAUCAAAGUAAAUCUGUUGAAAUCAAUUAAGCAUAUCACUUAAGAUAUGUAUACCUGAUGAUUUUACAGGAUUUAUUUAAGCGAUCUUUUAUGGGAUCAUUACUUAAUUUGUGUUAAUUAACUAAUUAAUAUUAGUUUCAUUUGAUCAUGAUAAAAACUUUCUGAAAAAUAAAUUUA